AAUCGUCGGCGUGUUCGACGGCGUCGUUUAACGGUGCCUCCAGUCUACUGCGCUCCGUCUGAGCGGCGCCAUGAGAGCGGCUGCGCCGGCGGCUCUCCUGGCUAACGCCCGCAUAUGUGCCCUCGCAAAUCCCAUUGUAGUGGCGGCCGGGGCGCCGGUCAUCCGGCCGUUCCCCUUUGUGGUGGUACGGCAACUCCAUCAAAGCUGCAGUCUGCUCCCACGCUCGCAUCGUCGAGCGGAGUUUCCUCAUCUAGCGGCAGAUGGAAGGUGUCCUGAAGCUAGCUUGCACGGAAUUUGACUCAUGAUGUGGGUGUUAAUCUUGUCAACAAUCUCGUUUCUUGGGCACAUGAUUGCUCUUUCUUCUAGCUUGGAAAUUCCGCCGUAUUUGCUUUCUUUACUGGACUACCUUCGGAUGAAUUCAGACACAUAUUUUUCUGGUAGGAUUUGCCUAGAGUCACCUCCCAAGACUAUAGUCAUUCCUCCAAAUGUUCUAUGCUCGACAUCCUCAUUUGUGAAUCGAAGAUUCCUUUCCAUUGGUAAUGGCAUGGAGCAUAUCAUAUGCUAUCAUUUUUGAAGGAAAAGGAGUGACCUGUAAGCGAACACAGUUUCAUGAUUAGUACUUGUUCAGUCUCUGCCAACUCCAAGGCUUUAAUUGGAAAGAAUGAUUAGCUCAUGGUCUUCAUGUUGUUUGUAAGAAAUAAGAUGUGCAUAGCCUAAGCUCAUGGUCUUCAUGUUGUUUGUA